rnacentral:rRNA from 1 species
GACGAACGCUGGCGGCGUGCUUAACACAUGCAAGUCGAACGGUGAAGCGCCUUCCUUUUUGGUUGGUGUGGAUGAGUGGCGGACGGGUUAGUAACACGUUAGUAACCUGCCCCCUUCUUCGGGAUAACCGCAUGAAAGUGUGGCUAAUACGGGAUAUUCUGGGUCUGUCGCAUGAUGGGUCUGGGAAAGAUAUGGUGUCGGUGGGGGAUGGUCUCGCGGCCUAUCAGCGUGUUGGUGGGGUGAUGGCCUACCAAGGCGGUGACGGGUAGCCGGCCUGAGAGGGUGGACGGUCACACUGGGACUGAGGCACGGCCCCGCCUCCUACGGGAGGCAGCAGUGGGGAAUAUUGCACAAUGGGCGCAAGCCUGAUGCAGCGACGCCGCGUGAGGGAUGGAGGCCUUCGGGUUGUGAACCUCUUUCGCCAGUGAAGCAGGCCUGCCUCGUUUGUGGGUGGGUUGACGGUAGCUGGAUAAGAAGCGCCGGCUAACUACGUG